CUUACUUUUAUAUUUUAGUUCUCUGAUAUCAUGCAAAGCUAUCCUCUUCAUACCCACAAUGUAGUUUUAUUUUUGUUUCCAGAUGGACGCAAACGCUCGGUGUACGUAGAGUCGUAUCAGUGGUAGAUAGGACUUGAAAGAAUAUUGAUCUUACCUUUAGCUCCUUGUGGGUUCGACACUCCAUACUUAUGUAACGACCCCAUAAUAAGAUUCGAUGUCUAUGUGCUCACUGUGCUAGUCCCUGGAUCAAUAGCUAGCACACACAGUACAAGAUGUAAUAUCAAGAAUAAACCACAUGUCAUAACAUUACAUCAUAGAUCCAGAAUUUAAUAUAAUACAUACCUUCAUAGCUCAAGCUAGCAUACAAAUAAAAUACAGCGAAAAAGCAAAUAAAAUCUUCAUGAAGUC